rnacentral:tRNA from 1 species
GAGGGUAUAGCUCACGUGGUAGAGCAUGUGCUUAGCAUGCAGGAGGUCCUGGGUUCAAUCCUCAGUACCUCCA